UCCCCUUUCUCUCCGCCUUCCCCUUCUCCAGACAGAAGCAACCGAUCCCAGUCUCAGAAGCAAGUUAGAUCAGAUUCUGUCGCAAGCGUUAACCCCAGACCAGACAAACACCCAGACAACCUCAGAGGCCAGCAUCGAAGCCCAAUCAAAGAUAGUGUAUAGAGUCAUCAAAAACCAGCCACCCCCAUCCUUUCCAUUGAACUGGACCACAACCCCUUCAAGUGCAAGGCUCCUGGCUGUCUGAAGUCCUUCCGGAAGGCCUCUCUCCUGCACUACCAUGUCAAGUACUACCAUGCAGACAGCGAACACCCCUCUGAGUGCAGCGUGCAGACCCGGGCAUCAGAGAAGCAGGUUGGCUCUCAAGAGACGCCUAGGAGGAGACGCAGCAUGUCAGGCUCUAUACACUCGCUCCUGGGUGACAGACAGACUGCCAUCGGAGUUAACCGUCAUCGUCGGAAAUCACUGAGUGAGAGAAGGAAGUAGAACCAGCAAACCAACAGCGGACCCCAUGAUGAAAGAGAAUGGGGCGUCAGUGAAACAGUGUUGGAGAGUAGGCUGGACUACACAGGGGAACUGGAACCUCCUGACCCGUUGACCCGAUUGCCUCAGCUCAAACAUCGCAUCAGACAGAUGGUCACAGACCUGGGCACCGUGCAUCAGAUGUCCCUCUGCUCCUCCAACACAUGAGUGUGCCACUGAGUUCAGCACUUCACCACAGAGACCUGGCUGGAGCAGGGCGCAGCAAGCAAGGCUACAGUACAAAUGAUGUGUGAGCAUGGUAGGGGAGUAACACAAACUGUCAUUAAUCCGUUAUUAUACCAACAAAACUAUUGUAAUCAGAUUACAGAUACUUUUGAAAAACUACAUUACUUCUUGGAUUACUUUUAAAAUCAGGAAAAAAUACAUUAUGACACCUUUCAGUUUUCUUAAUGACAUUCAAUUCAGCAUUUUUAAAAAGGCGCAAGUUUAAGUUUGUUCCAACUGAGCAAGUCUGACCGGAUGUCAGAGACCACUAUGAUGACACACCAAAUGCAUUUGAUGGAUCCUUUUCUGUCUUCUGUCCAAAAGUAACUGAAAGUAAUCAGAUUGAUAAUGAGUUUGGAUAAUCCAAAAGUUACGUAACUGAUUACAAUUGUGGACAGGUAACUGUAACGGAUUACAUUUUUGAAAGUAACCUACAGUCUCCAACCCUGUGUGUGGGUUACAGGGACAGAGACGUUAACAGGGGAUUCCUGACUGAGACACCUGCUACUACUGACGAUUCGAGAAUCAACAAUAUGAAAUGUCUGGCAACCUGCAUUCCUGCCACGGUGAUGCAGAGUGGAUAGGACAGGCUGCUUUUCUGAAAUGCAAGAAAAAUAAGAACAGAACAUAACCAUGUUCAACACGUUUAGUUUAUUAAUUCAACCAUUUUAAAAAACAAGCACACAUAAAACUUAAAAGCCAUACAUGCACAUGAAACUUAGGUUUUUGAUUGUAAGUCAACCCCUCCUAAUAAUGUAGUUCUUGCCAUUCAAUUUAAAACAUGGCUAAUACUUUGUUUUUCUAACAUAAAUAAUCUAUAUCCAACAGUGCUUUUUGAUUGGAUGGUUUUGCUGAAAGGUUCAAAUAAGGUUCAAAUGUAGACCGCUGUAGGCUUCAUCUUUUUUUCUACAGUUCUAUUAAAUGUUUGUAUAACAUUACACGUUUGUUCAAUGUAAGCACAUAGGAUUACAUAUGUUUCAAACGCAUAUUUUUGAUUAAUGUUUGAAUGAAAUGCAUUUGGAAACAAAUGGCUUAAUAAUGAUGUUUUAAGAUCAUAAGAAAUAAGGGUCACACUUUAUUUGGAUAGUCAGGAUUUUCCAUCUGUAGAUACUCUACAGAUAGUAUGGCCAUCUGUUGAUAAGCAACUGCUUGCUAAGGUUAGUGUUAGAGCUAGGGGUAGGGUUAGUAGAUGGUUAGUUGAAAUGUUACUGAUAGUCUGUAGACCAUCUACAGAUGGACUAUCCAAAAAGUCAUACAAAAAAAACAAGUCAUUUUUAAAGGGAGGGGAAAUAUUUGCAAAUAUUGUCCUGUCUUUUGAAUGUUCAGAAUGUUCUUGAGAAUAGAUGGUAUCUUUAUAUUGUCCUUUUUAAUAACAAAUGUUUCUUUCCUCAUAGAUAUUGAAGUAGUAUAGUAUACAAAGUUAUUUAGAGGACAUUGCCAAUAUUAAUGCUUUUGCAAACAAACUGUAUAUUUUGUGAAUUGUAAUACUCUGUUAAGAUAUUUCUCUUUGAUUGAAAUAUUUAGUUGUGAUGUUUGUUUUGUUUUUUUGUUCUUAUUUCAUGUUUUUCCCCGCCUGGCACUGUGCUCUUAUCCUUUUAUAUAUUGUGAUUCAGAAUUUAAUUUAUCAUUUUUUUAAUUGCAUCUUUUAAUCAGUAAAGUAAUGGUAUGUAUAGCACGUAGUCCAUAGAGUAUAGGACUGUGUCACAGUAUAUUUAGUACUGAUAUACGCAGUACAUUGCCUGUGUAUCCUUCUCUGGUGGGUAAAACUAGAGGAUGUGUGUGUGCGUAUAUGUGUGGACUGGAGAGCAGUGGGGAAAAGCAGAUGGAGCCAGCCCAGCAUAUGGCCCCACAGUGUGUAGUCAGAAGGCUCUGGAGUCCCCUUAUGGUAGUGCCACCCAGAUUUUUAUAUUGGAAUUAAAGCGCAUACCUCUGCGUUUCCUUGUACCAUAUCAGGAAUAUUACUUUGGUUUCUUUCUAUUGUGCAUUUUCUUAAUCUUUGCAUGUGAAAUGGGUAUUUUAUUUAACUAGGCAAGUCAGUUAAGAACAAAUUCGAAUUUACAAUAAUGGCCUACCCCGGCCAAACCCUAACGACCCUGGGCCAAUUGUGCGCCGCCCUAUGGGGCUCCCAAUCACGGCCGGUUGUGAUACAGCCUGGAAUCAAACCAGGGUCUGUAGUGACGCCUCUAGCACUGAGAUGCAGUGCCUUAGACCACUGUACCACUCUGGAGCCCCAAAUUGACAUGUGACUUUGACCUGACCCAUUUCAGAAUUAUUUGUUUUCACUUACUGUUUGUUUCAAUGGUUAAUAAUACUUUAUACUUCAGCACAAAAGGUGCAUUUAAUUAUUAUUCCCCAAGUUGCUAGCAACAUUAGCUUACUACUGAUGGUAUUAGCCAUGUAGAUACUAAGCAUAACUGACAUGGAUACAUUAAUUUGAAGUACCAGAGAUCUAUCAAAUCUUGCUAGCUACCGAGCGCAGUCGGUAAGUUAUAUUCGCAACGAUGUUCACGCUGUCUGUUGGUUUCACUGCUUUGCUCACCUCGCUCCACCCGCUCACUACUGGUGAGUUUUAGCUGUUUUAGUAAACGCAUCAACUACUCUCAUUAAGCUAACUUCCAACAUUUUAAUUAACAGCCAUUUAACCAGAAAUGUCAAAUUAUUGCACAUUCUAAUCAUUUAUUUAUUUAACUAGAAAAGUCCGUUAAGAACAAAUUCUAAUUUACAAUGAUGGCCUACCUCGGCAAAACCCUAAUGAUGCUGGGCCAAUUGUGCGCCGCCCUAUGGGACUCCCAAUCACGGUCGGUUGUAAUACAGCCUGGAAUCAAACCAGGGUCUGUAGUGACCCCUCUAGCAAAUUGACGUUUGAUGUGACCCAUUUCAGAAUGACUUAUUUUCCCUUACUGUUUGUUUCAAUGGUUAAUAAUAUUUUAUAUUUCAGCUGUAUGUUGGCAGCGGCAGACUUAUCAAUGUAUGUUUUUUUUAAUAUAUUCGAUUUUAUCAUGAGAGGACUGAGAUUUUUUGUUUAAGAAAUAAUUAUUUAAGA